rnacentral:sRNA from 1 species
AUGCAUUCUAUUGCUCUAGAAAUAGAACAUCCUACAGAUGAAUGAAACCAGUACCUUUGGGCUGGGCUUGAAAAAAAGUGCAGCAAGUGUAUCUCUAAAAAUAUUUGUAUGAGGUCAAGUUGUGGAGUACAUCCUAGCACUCUUGGACUAAAAGAGCAUUCAGAUUAAUGG